CACCCACAUCCCAUUGGCGACAAUCCGUGUGACGUUUACGGAUGUAAACGGAGCAGAAUCGUCCUGCCUGUGUAGAACAAGGUUUCAGGAAGAAAAGAUGAGGGUUUCCACCAGUCAUCUGCAACAGCUCACCAUCUUCACCACCCUGCUGACGGGGGGUGGGAUCGGCACUAUGUACUAUCUGCUGCAGAAGAAAUUUGUUGAGUCCGACUACCACCGACUGGCUCUGCAGAAGUUGGAAGCAUGUCCAGUUGCCAUGGAAAGCCUGGGGGCUCCACCUUUAAAAGUCCACAACAUCCAUCUGACUGACAGAAACAACCGCAUAGAUCAGCACACUGCAAAGAUAAAGAUCCCUGUGACGGGUUCAGAAACUGGAGGUUAUCUGUAUACUGCUUCAAUUCGAGACCCUGACACUAAUAGUGUGUCUUUGGACCCCCAGCGUGUCAGAAAAGAACACCCACUCUCUCUUUCUCCUGCUCCAUCCAUCUGAAAACCUGUGUAAAAAAAGAGCUGAUCAAACUAUGGACCCGUUAAAGAGGUCCCAAGCCAUUUCUGUGUUUCCUGGUGGUACUGCAGAACCACCUUCCGCUAGGUGACCCAUUACACAGAGCUCUGCAGAAUCCACUGUGGUUUACUGUCAUGGACCUGCUAACACAUCUCAAGCAAAUAAUGAUCUGUUGUUGGCUGCAUGAACUAACAGAAAAGUCAUGUUACUUACUUCCAUCACUGAGAACGUGAACACCCAGUGGAUUAACUUUAUGUUUAGGUAUUUUUGGUGUUUUUAAAUGUCCUCACAAUCACAACAAAGGAAACCUGUUUCUCAAUGAGCGUCGGUACCAACAUUUUAAAACUGAAGCUCUGGAUGGAUCUGUAGCGGCUGACUGUGACCUAACUUCAAACUUGGAAGAUGUGGUCUGAGGGACCUGAUGCUCUGUCCUGUAGCUCCUGUCUGAUGAGGUGUUCCUGAACCCAGCAGACUCCUCUCACAGAAUGAAUAACCAUCAGAGGAAAAGAGGCCUCAGGAUGACCUCUGACUCGAGGGCUCUGUUAGCAUCUGACACAACUUCAUUAAACAAGAAACCCUCUACUGAUGGAGCACAUGAUCUGGGGUCUCAUUUAUAAAACAGUGCGUAGGAUCCACACUAAUUGUUUGCGUAUGUUUACAGGAGGAAAUGCAGGUACGCCAGAAAAAAUUAUUAAGAUUUAUAUAACUUUGCGAACGCCUGCCAGUGUGCAAUAUCCUUUUUAUAAAUCCCAAAUCAACCUGUAAAUGUGCCCAGCUGGUUCAGCCUCACAUCCUGCCCUCCACACGCCCGCAUUCAGCCAUAAAUGGUCAAUGCAAAGCACCUCAUGAAUGUUUAUGCAUAGAAAUGAGCCUGCUGAUCAAUCGGUCUUUACGGGGAAUCGCAUUAACUACCGAGAGGAAGAACACCGGUUUCCUCCCAUUUCUUCCAUUUACAAAGUCCUAAGAGAGCCAGAAGUAAACACAACUUAUUUCCACACUUUGCUUAAUUACACAAUACUUAAGUGCAGGUGGUGAAGAUGAAGGUGAGGUGACAAGAGAGGUGUGCAAGAGUCACCAUGGUGACUGCUCCAGUGAGCUCUGAUACUGGCAUCAGAAAGCUGUUUACAGUUUGUCUGUGUACAGUAUAUGGGUCCCUUUUGACACCUAAUGAAAACUCAGAUUGUACUUGGUGAUUUAUGCCUAGUAAGAGAAGAUUAUUUAAAAACUAUUUACGCUCUGUUCUGCAGUUCUUUGACACUAAUUGAUGUUACCUAACAGCUGAUGAUAAUUUCAUCAGCUGCUCCACAGAUGACCAUGAGUGUCGGUAGUUUCGGUCUCUCCUCUGUACUCCGGGCUGCAGACACCACUGAUGAAAUAUUAAGCAACAUUUGAUUUGAGGUUUGAGAUGGUUUAUAUCUUUUUACAAUUAAUAUGUGCUUAUAGUUAUGGCUCACUAGUACAUGCACAAAUACACUGCUGGUUACACUGUUUAUGAUAAAGAGAUUAUAUAAGUGCAAAGUAACAUGUUAUGUGAAGUGAAAUGAAAUGUGUGAAAGGCAUCAUUAUACCUGUAAUGAUGCCUUUCGCACAUUUCAUUCCUACAGUCUGGCUUCACAUCACCACUCCCCGUCUGCGUCGGUAAUCCAAAAUGUUUUUAUACGCAUGGGUCAGCGUUUCCGUACAGGUACGCACAUUCUUCUGUCAAGUUUAUUGUUUAUAGAUCACAACGUUUGCAUGGGAAGUGGUGUACGCAACGGUUAUAAAUGAGACCCCAGGACAGUUUACAUACAAAUUAUGGCUCUGCUACAUUGGGCAUUAUGUGUCCCCAAUGUAUAUUUAAAUGUCAGUCUAUGA